rnacentral:tRNA from 2 species
UGUGGUGUAGCUCAGUAGGAAGAGCGGCUUACGGAGUUGUGGCUAGCAACACGGGAAGCAGGCCGCAGGUUCAAGUCCUGCCACCGCAUCAA